rnacentral:rRNA from 1 species
AGUGAACGCUGGCGGUAGGCCUAACACAUGCAAGUCGAACGGCAGCACAGUAAGAGCUUGCUCUUACGGGUGGCGAGUGGCGGACGGGUGAGGAAUACAUCGGAAUCUACUUUUUCGUGGGGGAUAACGUAGGGAAACUUACGCUAAUACCGCAUACGACCUACGGGUGAAAGCAGGGGAUCUUCGGACCUUGCGCGAUUGAAUGAGCCGAUGUCGGAUUAGCUAGUUGGCGGGGUAAAGGCCCACCAAGGCAACGAUCCGUAGCUGGUCUGAGAGGAUGAUCAGCCACACUGGAACUGAGACACGGUCCAGACUCCUAAGGGAGGCAGCAGUGGGGAAUAUUGGACAAUGGGCGCAAGCCUGAUCCAGCCAUACCGCGUGGGUGAAGAAGGCCUUCGGGUUGUAAAGCCCUUUUGUUGGGAAAGAAAAGCAGCAGGUUAAUACCCCGCUGUUCUGACGGUACCCAAAGAAUAAGCACCGGCUAACUUCGUG